rnacentral:rRNA from 1 species
CCCUUAGAUGUUCUGGGCCGCACGCGCGCUACACUGUUCGACGCAGCGAGUCUUAACCUUGACCGAAAGGUUUGGGUAAUCUUCAGCAAAGUCGAACGUGAUGGGGAUCGAUCAUUGCAAUUAUUGAUCGUGAACGAGGAAUUCCUAGUAAGUGCAAGUCAUCAGCUUGCGCUGAUUACGUCCCUGCCCUUUGUACACACCGCCCGUCGCUCCUACCGAUUGAAUGAUCCGAUGAAUAUCAUGGAUUGAGGAUGCAAGUAGGUUCGCCUAUCUUCAUCUUCGAGAAGUGAAGUAAAUCUUAUCAUUUAGAGGAAGGAGAAGUCGUAACA